UACGGGGGGGGUAAGCGUUGUUCGGAAUUACUGGGCGUAAAGCGUGCGCAGGCGGUCUUGCAAGACAGAUGUGAAAUCCCCGGGCUCAACCCGUGGGAACUGCAUUUGUGACUGCAAGGCUGGAGUACGGUAGAGGGGGAUGGAAUUCCGCGUGUAGGCAGUGAAAUGCGUAGAUAUGCGGAGGAACACCGAUGGCGAAGGCAAUCCCCUGGACCUGUACUGACGCUCAUGCACGAAAGCGUGGGGAGCAAACAGG
rnacentral:rRNA from 1 species